GAAAUGCGAUAAGUAGUGUGAAUUGCAGAAUUCAGUGAAUCAUCGAAUCUUUGAACGCACAUUGCGCCCCUUGGUAUUCCAUGGGGCAUGCCUGUUCGAGCGUCAUUUGUACCUUCAAGCUUUGCUUGGUGUUGGGUGUUUGUCUCGCCUCCGCGCGUAGACUCGCCUCAAAACAAUUGGCAGCCGGCGUAUUGUUUUCGGAGCGCAGUACAUCUCGCGCUUUGCACUCAUAACGACAACGUCCAAAAGUACAUUUUUACACUCUUGACCUCGGAUCAGGUAGGGAUACCCGCUGAACUUAAGC
rnacentral:misc_RNA from 1 species